GCCGAAGUGGUGGAACUGGUAGACACGCGGCACUUAGGAUGCCGUACCCACGGGUGUGCGGGUUCGAGUCCCGCCUUCGGCA
rnacentral:tRNA from 1 species